GUGCCAACUCCCUCCACGCUGGGUUGUAGUCCCGUUUGUGGGAUCAGUUACUCAAGGUCUGUCCCCUCCCCGGAAGGGGCAAGAGUCUGCUCAGACUUGUGCCCUGCUGGUCCCCAGCACAGGUUUUGUGCUGGGUACAUACUUGUUGCGUGAACCCCCAGUCAGAAGAGAGCUGAGACCCACACAGCACAGUGAGCAAAGAACAGUUUGAGGCCGAGGGAACCCCGUACCCCGUGCCGGGAGAGCUUGAACCAGACCUGUCCUUGCCACCGCUGCUGAGGAGGACUUGCCUGGGGUCGGUGCCCAGGGGACGGGGAUUUUGAAAGCGAAGAAUCCUGUAUUCACACAGAGAAAGUGGACGGUCGUCCUCCCUUGGGCCCUGGGCUCACACGUGGCCUUCUUGUGGGUGACAGGCAUUCAGGGACAUUCCCGUAGGUCCCAACCGCUCGCUCCGUGUUUGGGAGGUGGCUCGAGAUGUGGUGUGAUGGAAAGCCAGUGUACAUUCACCGUCACACUCGGCGUUUGCAUUCAACGACUUGACUUUUGAGUUUGCCUAAGGAAGGGCAGCAGCCGACGCUGGAAUUGACCCACACCCAGGUUACUGGCAACCAGAGGGCAGUCCCGGGCUCGAUGCAUACGAGCUGCCUGCCAUGGUUUUUAGGUAGUUUUAGCCUUCGUGUCAUAGAAGUUAAAUCGGUUUUUAAAAACGUUUAUUAGCCUUUGAGUAGUUGGACAAGUGUUCGUCUUGCCUUUAUUGCAGGCUGUUUCGUGGCAUUUGCGUAGUUAUAACCCGUUUAUGCUUCUUCCCUGCAUCGUAGGUUCAUUUUGCUGGCCUGCGACGGCCUCUUCAAGGUCUUUACCCCAGAGGAAGCUGUGAACUUCAUCUUGUCUUGCCUCGAGGAUGAGAAGAUCCAGAGCCGGGAAGGGAAGCCCGCUGUCGACGUCCGCUACGAAGCGGCCUGCAACAGGCUGGCCAGCAAGGCAGUGCAGCGGGGCUCGGCCGACAACGUCACCGUGAUGGCGGUGCGGAUCGGGCCCUGAGGGCGCCGCGAGGCCGGGCCCGGUGCGGCAUUGGCCAAGGUCAUGUGUGUGUGCACAUCUGUGUGUUUCGCGUACUCCUGUGGGACUCUCGUGGUUGUAAAUAAAGGUUCUUUUUUUUUUCUA